UAAAAAGGAAUACAAUUACAAAUUUGAAGAAUAACCUACUACAUACUCAAGCUUAAUCAUUACUUCACACGACCAACACGCCCUCCGGCACUUUCCUGCUGUCAGCAUCUUCUUGGUGCCUGAAGGAGUGUGACCAGACCUGGAGCAAAGUUUGCAGCCCGUGAAAGACACGCUCCCCAGAGCUCUCGGCACCUGACCGGGCCAGUCUCACAUCGGGGGAGAUCUGCGCUCAACUGUCCUUUGACAUAAAAUAACUGGAAAUCGGCUGGCGGGAAGAAAUGGAGGAUAAAAGUCUGGAGAAGAGAAGGGAAGCCCUGAGCCAGAGGGCAGACAGCAAGUCCCUGCACACUGAAGAGGAAGUGAAAGCU